GAUGAACGCUAGCGGCAGGCCUAAUACAUGCAAGUCGAGGGGCAGCGGGGUAGCAAUACUGCCGGCGACCGGCGCACGGGUGCGUAACACGUAUGAAACCUACCUUAAACGGGGAGAUAGCCCGGGGAAACUCGGAUUAAUACCCCAUAAUACAACUGUUAUAACAUGAUGAUGUUGUAAAAGAUUUAUCGGUUUAAGAUGGGCAUGAGUUCGAUUAGCUAGUUGGUGAGGUAAUGGCUCACCAAGGCGACGAUCGAUAGGGGGUCUGAGAGGGUGAUCCCCCACGCUGGUACUGAGAUACGGACCAGACUCCUACGGGAGGCAGCAGUAGGGAAUAUUGGUCAAUGGAGGCAACUCUGAACCAGCCAUGCCGCGUGUAGGAAGAAGGCGUUCUGCGUUGUAAACUACUUUUGAUUGGGAACAAAUGACUCUUGCGAGAGUAGCUGAGUGUACCAAUAGAAUAAGCCGCGGCUAACUACGUGCCAGCCGCCGCCGUAA
rnacentral:rRNA from 1 species